GGAUUCCGAGAACGUUGAUAUGUUCGCAAUCAUCGUGUUAAAAUGCCCAAAAUAGCGCGUCAAAUUUUCGCAGAAAAAGUUGAAAGAUCAAUGUUGUGGGUGUAUGGAGGUCCCAAAAAGAGCCAAGAAUUUGGUUUCGGCGGAUUCCGAGAACGUUGAUAUGUUCGCAAUCAUCGUGUUAAAAUGCCCAAAAUAGCGCGUCAAAUUUUCGCAGAAAAAGUUGAAAGUUCAAUGUUGUGGGUGUAUGGAGGUCCCAAAAAGAGCCAAGAAUUUGGUUUCGGCGGAUUCCGAGAACGUUGAUAUGUUCGCAAUCAUACCGCAAAAUAGACGUAAUUGAACACUACCUUUUAUUACCAAAAGCAG
rnacentral:lncRNA from 1 species